AUCAAAAUUCUAUGUCUUCCUUCAUAGUUUAGACCAAGAAAUAUCUGGAAAUUUCCAGAGAGAGUAAGAUAAGGGAAAGCUAGAGAGAAACACCAAUAUCUACCACAAUUAAAGCCCCGAAUCUCAAAGCUCUUGAAGAGAAAAUUGUUGUACGUCGCUUUGGCUUCAAUUUGAGCUAGAUAUCAUCCAAUAAGGAGAAGAUUUUAUGUGGUGCUGCAAAUUUAAGGUACAGAUACUUAUUUUGGAGAGCCGCCACCUUAGGAUUCUACUCAACGGGUUGAAGUGCUCCCUUGUCUCGGAGCCUAAACUUUUGGUACUAAUCCUUAUAAUGUAUAUAUUUGUGUAUUUUGGGGGUACGGCGGGGCCCUGUCUCAUCAUAUGCUAUUGUUAAUCCUCUUAGAGGUCUGUAGACACAUGAGUGGGUUGUAUGUAGAUAUUGUCUGAUGUACUAGUAUGGCAUAUGUUUUUGGACAUUUACAUUCGGAGUGAAAGCCUUGUCGGCUUACGUAUUAUGUUAUCUUAUUUUUGACAAUUAAGACUCCCCAAGAAAUAGCUAAUUUUGGUAUAUAUAUAAGUGACAGUUUGAGACAA